rnacentral:rRNA from 1 species
GAUGAACGCUGGCGGCGUGCCUAAUACAUGCAAGUCGAGCGAAUGGAUUAAGAGCUUGCUCUUAUGAAGUUAGCGGCGGACGGGUGAGUAACACGUGGGUAACCUGCCCAUAAGACUGGGAUAACUCCGGGAAACCGGGGCUAAUACCGGAUAAUAUUUUGAACUGCAUGGUUCAAAAUUGAAAGGCGGCUUCGGCUGUCACUUAUGGAUGGACCCGCGUCGCAUUUGCUAGUUGGUGAGGUAACGGCUCACCAAGGCAACGAUGCGUAGCCGACCUGAGAGGGUGAGCGGCCACACUGGGACUGAGACACGGCCCAGACUCCUACGGGAGGCAGCAGUAGGGAAUCUUCCGCAAUGGACGAAAGUCUGACGGAGCAACGCCGCGUGAGUGAUGAAGGCUUUCGGGUCGUAAAACUCUGUUGUUAGGGAAGAACAAGUGCUAGUUGAAUAAGCUGGCACCUUGACGGUACCUAACCAGAAAGCCACGGCUAACUACGUGCCAGCAGCCGCCGCAG